rnacentral:rRNA from 1 species
UACGGGGGGGGCAAGCGGUUGUUCGGAAUUACUGGGCGUAAAGGGCUCGUAGGUGGCCAACUAAGUCAGACGUGAAAUCCCUCGGCUUAACCGGGGAACUGCGUCUGAUACUGGAUGGCUUGAGUUCGGGAGAGGGAUGCGGAAUUCCAGGUGUAGCGGUGAAAUGCGUAGAUAUCUGGAGGAACACCGGUGGCGAAGGCGGCGAUCCUGGACCGACACUGACGCUGAGGAGCGAAAGCCAGGGGAGCAAACAGGG